AUGGAGGGCCGCUCAAGGGUGGGCCACAGUGACAGCAUAAUGGGGCGGGGUGGCGUGGAGCUGGAUGCCCUCAGCUGCCCUCGCCACACUUCUGUAAAGUCCACUCGCAGCUUUUCUCCUCUGCACCCAGCCCCACCCACCACUUCCUCCCUGAGCUCACAAGCUACUUCCCUCUGCAAGCACUGGGUAACUGUCACCCCCACAGCAGGAAUUGCAGGUCCUGGAGAGACAAGCUCACGAGGCAAUCUCAUUCUUCAGCGUGACAGUGAUCGCCACCUAACUUGUCGAUGACUCUGAAAUCUCUCACCUCAAACCCCAGCAUCCACCUGUCCACUAGCCACCUCUAUCUGGAAACCACUCAGGACACAGUAAGUGCUCAAUAAGUCAUUGUUGAAUGAAUGGACCGCUUAAACCCUAAAAGCUGGCAGUUCAGGCACAGAGAUAAGCUGCUGAUUUGUUGGGGUUUUAUAGCUCUCCUUUUAUUGUUGUUGCUCUGUGAGGCAGUUUGGAGUGGCAGAAAGAUCCCAAGUUUUAGAAUUACAAUCGUAUUUGGAUCCCGACCUUGCUCUACAAUCUGUAUCUAUUUAUCUAUCUGAAGGCUACAAGUCAAACUCUGAGGUAGGCAGUAUGGAGUCUCAUCGAGGGUUCUGGAUCUUGUUUUCAAACAAGUAAGCUGGGUAGCUUUGGACAAUCUCUGCCUCUCUGAGUCUCCGGGGAUAGCUGAGUUGGAUGAUUUCUAAGUUCCUUUCUAACACUUAACUUUUCAGUGUGAAGCAUUCUAACACCUCGGGUAGAGUGUUUUUUUCUGACUAGCAACCUGACAGUUUUUACUCGAAAAGGAUACUACAAAUUUCAGCAACUUGGCAUAUUUCAUUCUGUUUUUCUCUAUAUUUGCCUGGAUAUCUCAGAAAGAGGCUGGGAACCAGUUGUUGGCUUCAAUACUGUUCAACAUUCAGUGUUCUGUCAUAGUAGCUGUACACGGAGCAGGCUUAAAGAUGAAGGUAAAAAUAUCUCUUCCCACACAGACAGCUAUUUUUGUCUAACUCAUCCACUUUCCUUCUUCCCAAAACAAGGACUAGCAGGAGCAGCUGUUGCCUAAGCACACUGGGCAAGUGUUUGCAUGGGGGACUGUGCAUGAAGCUGUAACUCCAGGCUGGUAACUGUUCGAUAAGACGCACAACUGAUGCAUCUAAGUGAGUCAUUAUCUUCCCAAGCACUCAUCUUGGUAGGUGCACAGCUAUUCUAAAACUGUCUUAGGGCUACUAUUUAUUUCCCAUAAUAAUUUAAAAUU
rnacentral:lncRNA from 1 species